rnacentral:RNase_P_RNA from 1 species
GUAGGUAUUCAGAUAGUUACCCCGACCUAGUGUUGGGGAGGAAAGUCCGAACACAGACCCAUCUUCGGACGGGUAGCGGGUAGUGGGUAAUACCCAUGUGUAGCAAUACAUAGGUGCGAGCAGAGACGUUUUAGUGCGAAAGCUCUAAAAUACCCCACAGGAAAUUCCUAUGGGGUAAGCUCUAUAGAGAUAUAGAGAGUGAAACGGCUAAACCCUUACCCCUGUGCAAGAUCGUGCCCUGCACCAUACGGUACAGGGAGAAUCGCUUGAGCCCGAGCGUAAGCGAGGGCCUAGAUAAAUUACUAUUGUUCCAGCUUUGUGCUGGAAAACAGAAUUCGGCUUAUAGGUACCUACACCA